CCCUCCAGUGAAUGGGAAGAUGGAGAUGGAUGUGGAGGGAGUUUCUCCGCGCCCGGAGCCCAUCCCCCGCUCCCAGGGGGCUGGCGGAGCCUGCCAGGCGCCGCCACCGCCGCCCCAGCCCCAGCCGCAGCCCCAGCGGCCGCCGGCUCAGGAUGAAGUGCCGGGCGGCGAGAGUGCGGGCGCCGAGGACAGCGACGAUCCCGAGGCGAGACCCAGCGGCGAGAGAGGGGAGAGCAAGUAUUUCAGUGACAGAACCCACUCAGGAGAGUUGGGGCCAGGCUGGCCGAGGUUGUCAAGGAGCUGAGUUCUGAGUUCAGGUGCCCACGUGGCAGUGGAAUGAUGUCUCCUGGCCCUUCAGACCUUGGAGACGUCUGGGAGGCCCUAGAAAUCACCUCGAGUCUCCAGUCCAGGACACAACUGCCUGGGAUCCCAGGGAAAGGCGGCAGAGAGCGUGUGGCCUGCAUGGUGACGGACUCCAACGUGAUCACAGCAGAAGCCACCAAAUUCCAAACCACUGGCAGUUCCAGAGCACAAACCCCCUUCUGAAGAGGAGGCAGGAAGUGAGCCGGGAGGAGGCCCACUGCUUGGCAAGGAAGCCAAUGGACCACCUUCUCAGGUCUCCUGGAAGCUGCUGAGACACAGUGAUGAAGGUGUCCUCACACGCAGGAUGGAAUCAAGUGCUUAGAGUGGGCUGAAGUCCUGGGACCCCAGUUCUGAGUCAGACUGCUCUCUGUCUCUCUCUCUCUCUCUCUUUCUCCUCCCUCUCUCCCCAGCUCAUCUCUUUCUAGCUGUAUUUUUUUCUUGGCUCAGGGAAUUGUAACCAGGAAUUGCUCUACUAGGUAUAAUUUUGUUCCCAAACUAGGCUUGUUUAUGAACACGUUACUGGGAAUUUAGGAGGGUCUUGCCAGUUGCCACACAUUACCUGAUGAAUCCAAGGUCUACUCUUGGAGUUCUUAAGUCCUGUUAAUAAAAAUAAUAUGGCAACUGACUCAAAAGAAGUUCAAGGACAUUUAUUAUUAGCCUUAAAAAAAAAAAGCAGGAGAAGGGAAACUGUAAAUCACAGCAGCUGCCCAGAGGAAGAAGAUGGAGAGGGGAACGGAGCCUCACAGCUUAAGUUAAGCCAACAUGAAGGUCAGCCAUAUGGCAGAAAGCAGCCACAUGAUGGUCAGGGCAGCUCAGAAGAAAGAGUGAAGGCCAGAGCACUUCUUCCAGAAAGCUGCUUAGGAAAGAGAUGGAAGGGAAAGGAGAACUGUGCCUCUCUGGGUCCUUCAGAAAGGUGGGCAUCUCAGAGUGUCAUGGCUACAGUACAGCCUUGUGUGGGGCUGCACAAGCGUGGGGAUUCUGGAGAGGGAAAGCCCAUUAUCCCAUUAGAGGGGCAAUUAUUCCUCUUAUGUCUUUAGAAGCCUUAAGGUGGCCUGGCCUUAUCCGGGGAUGGUCCCUCCACCAGGUGAUCGACCUGCCCAACUGGAAUGUUGGGUAUCCUCCCAGGCCAUUCUCUGGAUAUGAGGAAAAUAGUUUUCUUUUAAUGGGCCUUUCUGCUAUGGCAACAGAAUCUGUCCUUAGAGGUUUCCUCCCAAGCUAAGUAGUGAAUGAGGUUAUGUUGUUGGACUAGCACAGUCCUUGUGUUUAGGUUAGAGAUGCAUGUCCUAUCUGUUUCCUCAAGUUUGGAUUCAGGUGCUGGCAUGUAGGAGCCACGUUGCUUAGCUACCAAAGACUUCUUCAACUGUGGCACCUGCUGCAGUUAAAACACAGUCAGGCAUGUGUCACACCUGGGGCUCCUGUGAGUCGUUUGAUGUGAAUGAUGGACUACAAAGGAACACGCACCUCACAGUUUGAGAUUUAGGGCUCCUCUGAUCCUGCAGAUAGAACAGUAGACAAUGUUUUAAAUAUCAAAAGUGACUUUCGGAUACUUUGAAUCUUUUGGGCAAUUUUGGGUGGUUUUGCAAUUCCAUUUUCUAAGGUCAAAUAGGAACAGGCGAUCAGUGACCUUACCAGCUGCAUCGUUCAGGCCUCUGUGGAGGUGCCUACCUGGGAAGAGGUGAAGCAAAGGCAUGUUUCCACAGUGGGGUUUGCCAGCGGGGACCUUUCUGUGUCUGUCCUGUAACUUUGUCUGCCUUGCAAUAAAGUAUCUUCGCUGA